ACACUUAUAGUUUAAUGGUUAAAACAUUAAUCUACGGAAUUAAAAAUAUAAGUUCAAUUCUUAUUAAGUGUU
rnacentral:tRNA from 1 species